CAAACCGGAGGAAGGUGGGGAUGACGUCAAGUCAUCAUGGCCCUUACGGCCUGGGCUACACACGUGCUACAAUGGUCGGUACAAAGGGUUGCCAAGCCGCGAGGUGGAGCUAAUCCCAUAAAACCGAUCGUAGUCCGGAUCGCAGUCUGCAACUCGACUGCGUGAAGUCGGAAUCGCUAGUAAUCGUGAAUCAGAAUGUCACGGUGAAUACGUUCCCGGGCCUU
rnacentral:rRNA from 1 species